rnacentral:rRNA from 1 species
GACGAACGCUGGCGGCGUGCUUAACACAUGCAAGUCGAGCGGUAAGGCCCUUUCGGGGGUACACGAGCGGCGAACGGGUGAGUAACACGUGGGUGACCUGCCCUCAGCUCUGGGAUAAGCCUGGGAAACCGGGUCUAAUACUGGAUAUGACUCCAUGACGCAUGUUGUGGGGUGGAAAGCCUUGUGCGGCUGAGGAUGGGCCCGCGGCCUAUCAGCUUGUUGGUGGGGUGANGGCCUACCAAGGCGACGACGGGUAGCUGGCCUGAGAGGGCGACCGGCCACACUGGGACUGAGACACGGCCCAGACUCCUACGGGAGGCAGCAGUGGGGAAUCUUGCGCAAUGGGCGAAAGCCUGACGCAGCGACGCCGCGUGAGGGAUGACGGCCUGG